CGUCCACAUUGCGCCUAUUGCAACAAUGAUGGUCAUCUUGAGUCUCAGUGCUACACGAAGAAGAAACACCUGCGCAAGGCUCGAUCAUCAUCUUCCGGGACUUCGUCAUCUACCUCGACAGCUUCAGCCAUUGCUUUGACUGAGCAGGAUAUUCUGAGACUUAAGCGUCUGCUCGCGGCUUCAGGUUCUUCCUCGACGGGUACUGCCGGUUCUGUGACUGAUGCUUCCCGCACUGAGCAAUCACCCUCUACACAGUCAGGACCGUCACACGCACACUCUGGUUGGGGCUGGCCCUCGCCGCCGUGAUUCUCAGGGUCUUUGGGAGUUGGACUGGCUUCAUGUUCCUUCUGCCGCCACCACCAUCGCCAGUUCUUCCGCUUCUGUCGCCUCCGUCACUGGUUCCUUCCAGCAGUGGCAUCAUCGACUUGGUCAUCUGUGUGGUUCUCGGUUGUCUUCUUUAGUUCGUCGAGGCCUUCUGGGGUCUGUCUCAGGAGAUGUCUCUUUAGAGUGUCAGGGUUGUCAUCUUGGCAAGCAGAUUCAGUUACCAUAUUCACAUAGUGAGUCAGUGUCUAAGCGUCCUUUCGAUUUAGUCCAUUCUGAUGUAUGGGGUCCGGCCCCUUUCGCUUCGAAAGGUGGUCAUAAAUACUAUAUUAUUUUCAUAGAUGAUUUCUCUCGUUACACAUGGCUUUA